rnacentral:misc_RNA from 2 species
AAGUCGUAACAAGGUUUCCGUAGGUGAACCUGCGGAAGGAUCAUUACAACAAGGUUCCCUGGCCCUCCAAGCUUCGGCGGAAGGGGGCCACAGCCUGACUUUAUACCCACCCUUUGCCUAUGUGUACCCCUAUUGCUUCCCUCGGCGGGUUCGCCCGCCGACAGGAACCAACUAAACCCUUUGCAUUAUACAUUUAACACUUCCGAUACAAAACUAAAUUAUUACAACUUUUAACAAUGGAUCUCUUGGUUCUG